CUCGUUCGUUUGUUUCGCGAUAAGUUUACAGAAGUAGUUUUCGUUUUGGAGUUCUGUCCUCGCCCAGAAUUUGACUCUGCAUUUGAAAUGGCUUUAUUUAAAAUUCUCCACUCCUGCUGCCAUGUGUCGAGUAAUGUUCUAAUUCUUUUAAUCUUUACUCGUUUUUCUGGAGUAUCUUCCGGUGGGUGUUCUCUUUUAAGAAAAUCAAUCAGCUCUGAAAGCUCUUUCUCUGAAUCGGAAGAUUCCAAUUCUAUUCUCUCUUCCGCUUCAACUUUCCCGUCACCGUUAACUUCUAAAUCAACUUCUUCUUUAAUGCUUUCUUUUUCCGAAGUAGCCGUUGUUCCUUCUACCGGUUUGUGAUGGCCACGUAGCAUUUCUUCUGUUGCCGCAGUCGCUUUUUCAACAUUUUUUCUGCUUUUGUUCUCUUGAAUGUCAUUAAGUUCUUUCAGCACUUCAGUUGUGUUUGUUGUAGUGCUUUCGGGAACCGGUGAUGAUUUGGUCGAAGUAGUGGUACUUGUUAAGUAAGAGAUUCUAGGUACGAUAUUUUCUUCAGGGAUUUGAUCACGUUGAGGGCGUAUGUCAUAAUUGAUUUUCUCAACAACGGCUGCAAUCUGUUGUUUCAGAAUACUCGAAGAUUUAACCUCUGAUGAAAACCUUUCCAUUCGAGGGUUAAUAGGCUUUGAUACGUUCUCGACAUUAUCAGCGCUUUCCAAAGCUAAAUUAGGAAAAGACAUUGGCGUCCCUUGUGUUGAUCUCAAUGUUGACGAAGUAAAUAUAUCUGAAACGACCAACACUCUUUGGGCCUUCAAAAAAGCCAAAAGAACUGAAGGAUUGGACCAUAAUUCAUAAGCAUUUCGAAAUGAUGGAUCAUAAAAUAUUUGACUUCCAUACUGAAUACAGAGAUUAGCCACAGCUUUCCGAUCACAGGUAUGCUGUGAUACACGGAUUAACCAAGUAGGGUCAACGGCUAGUAAAGUAGCAUGCGUGGUAUU